rnacentral:rRNA from 1 species
UACGUAGGGUGCAAGCGUUGUCCGGAAUUAUUGGGCGUAAAGAGCUCGUAGGCGGUCUGUCACGUCGGCUGUGAAAUCCCGAGGCUCAACCUCGGGUCUGCAGUCGAUACGGGCAAACUAGAGUAUUGCAGGGGAGACUGGAAUUCCUGGUGUAGCGGUGAAAUGCGCAGAUAUCAGGAGGAACACCGGUGGCGGAGGCGGGUCUCUGGGCAAUAACUGACGCUGAGGAGCGAAAGCGUGGGGAGCGAACAGG